GACGAACGCUGGCGGCGUGCCUAAUACAUGCAAGUAGAACGCUGAAGCUUGGUGCUUGCACCGAGCGGAUGAGUUGCGAACGGGUGAGUAACGCGUAGGUAACCUGCCUGGUAGCGGGGGAUAACUAUUGGAAACGAUAGCUAAUACCGCAUAAGAGUAGAUGUUGCAUGACAUUUGCUUAAAAGGUGCAAUUGCAUCACUACCAGAUGGACCUGCGUUGUAUUAGCUAGUUGGUGAGGUAACGGCUCACCAAGGCAACGAUACAUAGCCGACCUGAGAGGGUGAUCGGCCAAACCUGGAAUGAGACACGGCCCAGACUCCUACGGGAGGCAGCAGUAGGGAAUCUUCGGCAAUGGACGGAAGGCUGACCGGGCAACGCCGCGUGAGUGAAGAAGGUUUUCGGAUCGUAAAGCUCUGUUGUAAGAGAAGAACGAGUGUGAGAGUGGAAAGUUCACACUGUGACGGUAUCUUACCAGAAAGGGACGGCUAACUACGUG
rnacentral:rRNA from 1 species